ensembl:lncRNA
GGGGUUAAUGAGAUGAGUAAAGUUAGACCAGGGUUCCUGUCAUUAAUCAGUAAACACACACACACACACAGACAGGUGGAGCUGAUCAGUAAUUACAGCUGGAACAGUCCCUGUUCUCAUCCAGUCACCAUGUGUUCCUGAGCACAGAGCUCACAUUACUGCUGUCUACUGUUCAACACAGUGAGAGAGAGACAGGGUGAGAGAGAGACGGGGUGAGAGAGAGACAGGGUAAGAGAGAGACGGGAUGAGUGAGACAGGGUUAGCGAGACAGGGUAGGAGAGAGAGGCAGGGUGAGGGAGAGAGAGGGUAAGAGAGAGACGGGAUGAGAGAGACAGGGUGAGAGAGAGAGAGGGUAAGAGAGAGACGGGAUGAGAGAGACAGGGUGAGAGAGAGACAGGGUGAGAGAAACAGGGUAAGAGAGUGACGGGAUGAGAGAGACAAGGUUAGAGAGACAGGGUGGACGGGAGAGACAGGGUUAGAGAGAGACAGCGUGAGAGAGAGAGAUGGGAUGAGAGAGACAGGGUGAGAGAGAGACAGAGAAAUAGACAGAUGGGGUAAGAAGCAUGUGUCUGUUCUUUAAUCACAGACAGUGGCUCAGAUAACAGACACGUCAUCCAACACACACAACUAUUAAUUAAACACAUCAAAGCCUCUCUCUCUCUCUCUCUCUCUCUCUCUCUCUCUCUAUCACACACACACAAACACACAUAUCUGAUAUCGGGAUGAGAGUAAAUUCAUGAUCAGUUAAUGAUAGAUUGUCACUGCUGUAAUGACUUCACAUAACCUUUUACCUCUUUGUCCUCCAAAAAACCUACAGUGAAAAACUCUUUAGUAGACUAAACAGAACCUUCUCCCCUAAGAGCAGUCUCUCACAGGUACAGAACCUUCUCCCCUAAGAGCAGUCCCUCACAGAUACAGAACCUUCUCCCCUAAGAGCAGUCCCUCACAGAUACAGAACCUUCUCCCCUAAGAGCAGUCCCUCACAGAUACAGAACCAUCUCCCCUAAGAGCAGUCCCUCACAGAUACAGAACCAUCUCCCCUAAGAGCAGUCCCUCACAGAUACAGAACCCUGAUAAUUUAUGUUCAUUAAGUAAUAUAAUGAACCGAUACUCUCUAUAUAAAGACUGAUAUGUGAACUGAUAUGAGGACGUGAUGAUGUUUAUAUAUUUACAUAUUUAUCUCCUCAUACGUCCUCAUGUGUUACUAUCAGUUCCACAUAUCACUUUAUUCACAC